GAUGAACGCUGGCGGCGUGCCUAAUACAUGCAAGUCGAGCGAACAGACGAGGAGCUUGCUCCUUUGACGUUAGCGGCGGACGGGUGAGUAACACGUGGGUAACCUACCUAUAAGACUUGGAUAACUUCGGGAAACCGGAUCUAAUACCGUAUAAUAUUUCGAACCGCAUGGUUCUAUAGUGCAAGAUGGCUUUUCUAUCACUUAUAGAUGUUCCUGCGCCGUAUUAGCUAGUUGGUAAGGUAACGGCUUACCAAGGCAACGAUACGUAGCCGACCUGAGAGGGGGAUCGGCAACACUGGAAGUGAGACACGGAACAGACGACUACGGGAGGAAGCAGAAGGGAAUCUGCCGCAAUGGGCGAAAGCAUGACGGAGAAACGCCGCGUGAGUGAUGAAGGUCUUAGGAUCGUAAAACUCUGUUAUUAGGGAAGAACAAAAGUGUAAGUAACUGUGCACGUAUUGACGGUAACUAAUCAGAAAGCAACGGCUAACUACGUG
rnacentral:rRNA from 1 species